UCCUAUUUCUAUUGAAACACUGCAUUAAAAAACAAGCAAACAAGUACAGAAAAAAGCUUUUCAAAAAAGUAAGUAAGGCUAAUUACAAUCCUUCAAAAAACAAUGCAAACAAGAUAGUGGGGAUGGAGUUUGUGUCAUCCCUUGCCUGUGCUAUUAUGUACUUCAUUAUUUACUUCAUUUUUUGAAUUUUUUUUUCCUUUACUUGUUAGAAUAUGUAUCAUAUACUCUGUUAGAGUAUAACUAUAUCAUAUUAUGCAAGCUUGCUCUCAGUUGCAUGCAUUUGGAGUGUUAUUUAUAUUUACCUUUAGUUACACAGUUUAUAUGGCUUUUGGAGUAAGUUUAAAUUUUUAUUCAGUACAAUGGACAUCUAAUUUAUUUUUAUCAUUCUUAGAGUUUUUUUAAUGCUUACAUGAAUAUUAAAUGCAGUGUUUCUAAAAUGUUGACAAGACAUGUGUACUUAAAAAUUGACAACUUUUAUCAGGCUCCUGUUUUCCAACAUUUCUAAGGCAGUUCCUACUUAUCUUGAUUGUUUUGUUUAUAAAGAAUUAAACUACCAGUGUUUGAUCUGAGCAGUUGUUGCAGUUACUUUCAUGCUAAUGAUUACUUUGGUCCUUCUAUACUAUUCUUGCACAUCCACCUUUGAGAAAAGUAAAACUUUAAAACACACUCUUUAUAGUUUAGGAAGUUAACAAUUCCUUUUUUAACUUGUACAGUACUGGGUUCCAUUACUGCCAAUACCAGUUCAUUCCAUAAACCAAUCAUCCUGUUAAAAUAAUAAAACUGUCUUAACUGAAAUAUAGCUUGUCUUUUCUAAAUUUUAAAGUUGUGUCAUUUCAUCCUAGCAUCUUAAGAAUACAGCAUAAAUAUAUUAGAGGCCUUUAUCCUAUCAGUAUCCCAGGUUAGCUUGUAAUCUUUAAUAAGAUCACCUCUUGCCCUUUUUUUCUCAAGAGAAAAUAAUAUUUCAGAAAUGCUACUUGCCUCCCUGUACCACAAAGAGCUGUUAUUUUGUACACCUCUGUGUGUAACUUCCUGCAUGUGACACAAGCUGUGAAUAAUGCUCCCACCCAUACAAGUGUAAACAUGUAUUGCACCAAUCUAUGAUAUAAACAUCAUUAGAUAUAGCCUUCCACCACUAGAACAGCAACACGUCUCUCAUAUGCAUGUGAACACAGACUCGUUCUUUCCUCGACACUACUUUCAGUCAUGUUUUUUCUUGUACUUUUUUCUAAAUUUGCACGGUAGUAUGGGUGCUUGAGUCCUUUUUCUUUGUCUCACUCAUUAGUAUGUCUUAGAGUUCCUUUUUUUUUGUGGACUACAAGUACCCUACAAGGGUACUUGUAGUCCCUUAGACCACUUUAUGAACAUUCCACAUAAAACAAAAAGACAACCAGUGUUAAUUUGUGGGUUGUUUUUGACCCUGAAUUCUCAGAUCCAUGUUUCUUUCCAAGGCUCUGACACUCCACUUCAGGAUUCUCCUUCUGCUAUUUCUACUAUGGUGACUAGGCACUUUUCCUGUCAACCAUGUGACUGCUGUCAUACAUCAGGUGGUUGGUACUCUUCUGCCUCCUUCAUCUUUCCAUCAGAUCCCUCGUUAUUCUUUUUUCUGUUGCUUCUGCUGAGCCUGUAUCAUCUGAUGAUGACUUCAACCAGCUUUUUCCUCCACCUGCCUUUGCUUCUGUUUUUUCUCUUCCUGGUGAAGAAGACGUAUGUCUACCUUCUUUUUCCCCUUUCCCAGACAUUUAUGUUCAUGCUGAAGCUUUUCUGUUCCAACUGUGUGCUGAUCUGCAUCAUCCUCAACUUUAUGACUUUUUCUAUGGCUUAUGAUCAUGAUCCUUCUGUUUUUCUUUAACCUCAAUCCCUAGAAUCUCUUUCCCUGUUUGGGUGCCCUCCUUUUGUUUUACUUAAUUCUCAAUCUAUUUGCUUUUGUCUUAUCACCAUGCAGCUCCUUCACUAAUUAUCCAUUCUUCAUUUUUUGUAGGUUCUCCAUUAUGGUUGCAUCAGUUUAGAUGGAGACACUCAUUCCAAUUUGUUUGCCACCUUGGCCUCGACCUCUUCUAUUGCUGUGUUUUUGUCGACAUGAUUUCUUUGUUUUUGGAAUUUGCUUGGUCGGGAUUCCUUCCUUUUUGGUAUGUGCCUCCCUCCCUCUUACCUCUGAGACCUAUGUCAUGUUUUGGGAUGAAGUCUUUGGAGGUGUUCCUGUUUCUUUGGGACCUUGGGCCGAAGCUUUAUGCUAGAAAUCUUCUCAGAUUUCUUUGGUUUCCUGUCUUACCAGAUUGUGGUUGUCCAAACAAGUUACUGCAUCAAUAUGAUGCAGUAGGAUUAGAGAUGUUCCACCAGCAACAUACAAAUUAUCAUGUAACUUUUCAGAUGAGAAAUGGCAUUCUUUGAUCCUAUCAUAAGGGACAACAUCCACAAAUCUCUUUAAAUUGCUUUGGAUAAUAGCAUAUGCUAAAUGAUAAUUCAUCUAAUUCAAGUAAAUUUAUGGUUUAGAGAAAUGUUUUUAAGGUAUUAACAAUGUUUCCAGUAGUUGCUACAAUGUAGUUGUCUAGUGAAACAAAACAUUGUUUUAUAUAGUUACGUUAGUAACUUUUAUUCAACAAUACAAUUCAGUUACAUUUUUACAAUUUAGUGUAGGGAUACAAAGUAUUUUUAAACAGAUUGUAAUGUCGGUAUUACAUCAAAAACAGUUGACAAAAAGAGAUCCUCUUUUUUUGCCUAUGCAUAGUUAGACACUUUGUUUGAAGUAGUUAAAACAUUUUUUAAUGUAUUAAGCUGAUUUGACGUAUUUUCUCUGUGUAGUGAUUUAACACUUUGGUUGAGGUGGCUACAACAUUUUUUAAUGUUUUAAGCUGAUUUGACGUAUUUUCUUUGUGUAGUGAUUUAACACUUUGGUUGAGGUGGCUACAACAUUUUUUAAUGUUUUAAGCUGAUUUGACAUAUUUUCUCUGUGUAGUGAUUUAACACUUUGGUUGAGGUGGCUAAAACAUU